rnacentral:rRNA from 1 species
UACGGGGGGAGCAAGCGUUGUUCGGAUUUACUGGGCGUAAAGGGCGCGUAGGCGGUCAGCACAAGUCAGUUGUGAAAUCUCCGGGCUUAACUCGGAAAGGUCAACUGAUACUGUGCGACUAGAGUGCAGAAGGGGCAACUGGAAUUCUCGGUGUAGCGGUGAAAUGCGUAGAUAUCGAGAGGAACACCAGUGGCGAAGGCGGCUUGCUGGGCCGGACCUGACGCUGAGGAGCGAAAGCGUGGGUAGCAAACAGG